UGCAUGUUUCAAUGCCAUUCUCCCUGCAGGUGGAUUCUUUACUGUCAGAGCCAGGGAAGCCCCAAGACAUGGCAACAUUAAUUAGUAUGCUAGUCCUUCAUUUGUAAGCUUUAUUGCAUAAGUAUGCCUUAAAGAAUAGAGGCUCCCUAAAGAAAACAUCUUCUAGACCAGUGCCUUCAACCAUUUGACCUGAAAACCGUCCCAUCGGCUUGAAAUUCCACCUACUCCUCUAACUGCUCUGCUCAGGCUCAGACCCAGCCCAAGGGAGGACUAAUGUCUUGUUCUACUAGACAGUCACGAAUUUCUUUAAAAGUUAACUGAUAACAAUGUUGACUCUGUGAGUUUAUUCUGUGCCAGUCACCAACCUAAGAGCUGCGUAUGAUUUAGUUCCUUAAAACCCUCCUCCAUGUGCUCUGCAAUAGGUGUUACUAUGAUCCCCACUUCUCAGGGGCAAACUGAAGACCAGAAAUAUGAAGACACUUGCUUGAGAUCACAAGGUUGAUGUAAGUGGGGAUCACAAGGUUGGUGUAAGUGGCGAAGUCAGGAUUUAAAUACAGUAACCUGAUUCCAGAUUCUCCAGGAUUGGCUACCGAGAUUAAUUAUUCCCUCCCCUGACAGCUGCUGACGCUUCCAGAUGUGGAAAGACAGCUAGAUGAAGUGAAUAUCGGGGACCAGAGGGAGGGAACGAGGGCAGUCAGUCCUCACUCCUCACCUCGCCCCCUGCUUGCUGUAAUUCCAGCACUCUCCUGUUCCCCACUGUUUGCUGCAACUGAGCCUCCUACUGGUCCACAUCUCCACUCUGGUGGCUUGGGGUCAAUCUGCCAGCUGGAAGGCCAGGGAGAUCCUUCUGAUAGUGAACCUUACUAUUCAACUGUAUUACCCAAAAAACAGACAAAUGACCAGGUCAAGUAUACAUCCUUCAAUAAAUGGUGUUGGAACUACUGGCUGCCAUUCUGGAAAAAAAAAAAAAAAGUACAUACACACAUGACUGGAGCCUUAACUGAUGCAAAAUGAACUCCAAGUGAUUCAAAUAUUUAAAGAUAACAAAUGUAAGCAUAUUAGAAAAAUGUAUAACCAUUUUUAUAAUUUUGAAAUGGAAAGAGAUUUCCUAAAUACUUUGCAAAAAUACAAAGGUUAUAACGGAUAUACUUUUCUUUUUUUUUAACUAUAUAAAUAUUUAAAAUUCAUUUGUAUAAGAACAAACCCUAUAAAUAAAAUUAAAGGAGGAAACACCAAAUAUUGGGGAAAAUAUCCACAGUAUAUGUACAGUAUGUAACAAGUGAAAAGUUCAUAUCCUUGCUACAUAGAGCCCUCUUUCAGAAUUAUAAGACAAAAUUACUGACAGCAUGGACAAAAUAUGUGAACUUCUAGUUACAAAAGAAGAAAUAAAAAUGACCCAUAAACAGCUUUUAAAAGUUCAGCUUUUUUAGUGAUCAAAGAGCUAAAUGAAACAAAAUACUGUUUUUCACCUAGCAUGUUGAUAAAUGGGGCAUGUGUCUGCCUCUUGUAGGAGUGAAAGUUGAUCCAACCUUUCAGGAGGGUGAUUUUGCAACUUGAACCUGUAGGGAAAUAAAAAUAAGCAUAACUUUGAAUUCUAGGAAUUCAUUUUGGGGACAUAUUUAAGAGUUAUCAGAAAGCUUUGGGUCUUUGGAUGAGAUAAGAAUUGCAUGUUGUUUGUAGUAUGUGCUUGUUUGUUUCAGGAGCUCUUGAGGGAGGCCACCCUGGUCCGAAGUGGAUCUUACUUCUAACGUCUGCGUGGGCUCUAGCAAAGGAUCUAGCGGAAAAUACGGUUCAGGGAGUGUGUGAAGCCUGGGUCAACACACAGAACGAAGAAAAGGCGUAAAUAGAGGAAGGACAUGGACUUUUGGCCUCGUAUCCACGCCUGCACCAAAGCCCAGACACCAGGUCUAUGUGGCUGUGUCUAACCAGCAGAUUUCUGUCCAAAGUUACACAAAGCUGAUGUUGCUGAAACUUACAGGUUUCUAUGACCGGAGCCUCUUGUGCCAAUUGCUACCUAUACCUUGGCCUUGGCUCCCAUCUGCUCUUUGGCUAAAAUGCCUGGAUUUCUGCCCAGAUUUCUGUCUCUACCUACUUAAGACUUAUGGUCUUGAAGGCAUCUUCAGAGCCAACUGCCACAACAUUUCAGGGGAACCAGACUUUGUGUGAAUUGUUUAAAGCGCAUAAUCUUGAAUAAUCAUCAUGACAAUCCUGUGAGGCAUGUGGGAUCUCAGCUUCCUGACCAGGGAUCAAACCCGCGCGCUGGAAGGUGAAGUCUGAACCGCCGGACCGCCAGGGAAGUCCCAAUUAUGCUGGAUUUUUGUUAACUUUUUUUUUGGCCGCCCUUCAUAGCAUGUGGGAAGGUCCCUGAUCAGGAUCGAACCCCCUGCAGUGGAAGCAUGGAGUCUUAACCACUGGACCGCCAGGGAAGCUCUAAUAUGCUGCUUUGUUCAGUGCUUUGUAUAGAACUGGUGCUGGGAAGCCUACAAUAUACACCAACAACUAAUGAUCAUAAUCAUCAUCUUUUUGAAAGAUUUUUAUUGUUUCAAAUUUUCUAUCAACUGAGCUUCUUUGAUGACCUUGAAGGCUGUUAUCCUUGCCUUCAUUUAUUCACCAAAUAUUUACUGAGUUCUGACAGUAUUGUCAGGUACUGGACUAAAGUCUGUAAAUUUUUGAAUGAGAAAGUAUUUGUUGAAGAUAAUUAUCUCUAAUGUGAGUAAAGCCAUUAAUCUGCUUUCAAUAGCCUUUUGUUAAGUUUCAGGCACUCAAAAUUAGCAAUUAGUUUUGAAUCCUCUAUUUAAUUCAGAAAGCAGAUGCGGUUACAUUUAAGCCUGGGUACUGGUAUCCUCCUUUAUCCAUUACUCAAUUAUUAUGCUCUGCUUUAUUACUUUUUUUCCUAAAAGAGAUUUGAGAUGGUAUGAACUAGAGCUGUCAAAAUAAGGAAGGCAGAUCAAAAGCAAUGAAAUGUAGUGGGGAAGGAAGUUGGUCCAGAUCCAUAGUGUGAAAGUAUCUGUUGUGUUAUUACAUACAAGUUAGAACCAAGAUCCCUAGCAAUCAAGGGGAAAUGCAAAAGGAUGAAUUAUAGGUCACAUUGGACAAUAAAUAAGAGUGAACCAGCUCAUUUUCAGUAGUCAUUUUCUUUUCCUUCAAUGUAAACUCUGAAAAGUUAUAAGAUAAAACUUUAAGGAACAUUGAAAUAAAAAGUACCCCCCUGGAAAAAACUGUUACCAAAGAAAUAGGAGUGUUCUUUUGUGGCUUUCUCCAGCACUGAGAAAUGACAGACUCUGAUGGACUUAAACAAUGAAUUUUAAAAAAUACAUAUGUUUAUCUAGGGAUCUUUAGUUGCAGCAUUCGGACCCUUAGUUGCAGGGUGUGGGAUCUAGUUCCCUGAUCAGGAAUUGAUUCUAGGCCACCUGAAUUGCGAGCACAGAGUCUUAGUCACUGGACCACCAGGGAAGUCCCUACAUGAUGAAUUAAAGCGUCAGAGUUAAGCUGUGUGGCUUUCUGGUAUUCUAUUUGAUGUAGGAAUAGCUUCAAGAGACCUCAGGGAAAAGAAGUGUUUGCAUUGUCUUAGAUUGUUUCAAGUAUCAAUUGUCUCAGCUGGGUCUUUGGCAAGGGCUGACAAGCACAAAAUCAUACAUUCAGUUACCUAUCAGAUAUAAUAAUGUUGGGGAAACAGGCAAAACUUGGUAGAAUAGAAUACUCAAAAACAAAGAGCCUACCAAUCACUUUGUUGAUGGAAGAAACCCUUCAUCUUCCUUGCUCUAUGACUUUAAUGGGAUUUGAUAACAACUGGAAGAUUUAAAGACUUUCACACAGCCUAUUUUUAUUAUAAUUAUUUUUAUGGUUCAUUGUGUGGAAUGUAUCAUUUCAGUGGCUCUUAGACUUCUGUGGUUCCACAUCUGCAGAUUCAACCAACUAUGGGUGUUAUGGUCCUCUAGUAUGUGUUUACUGAAAAAAACUAUAUAUAAGUGGAUCUGCGCAGUUCAAACUGGUGGUGUUCAGGGGUCAGCUGUGUUUGUCAGUAACUUCUUGUCUCCCGUGCCCCUGAGAGCCGCUCCUCGAAGAACACAGAGUGACUGAUGGUCUGUGAGUGAACAGAGGUCCUGGCUUUGAAGCUCCCCCGACUGGUGGUGAUAUCUCAGACCAGCUUAUCUCGGCCCUGUGGAGGCUCCCAAGCCUUGGCAAAAUGCUGCUGACACCCAGAGCACCUGUCCUUACCUGGGCUGAUAUCGGAAUUGUGUUGUGUUAGACGCUCAGUCGUGUCUGAUUCUUUGCAGCCCCAUGGACUGUAGCCUGCUGGGCUCCUCUGUCCAUGGAAUUCUCCAGGCAAGAAUAUUAGAGUCGGUUGCCAUUCCCUUCUCCAAGCCAUCUUUCUGACUCAGGGAUCAAACCUGGGUCUCCAGCAUUGCAGGCAGAUUCUUUACCAUUUGAGCCACCAGGGAGGCCCAAUUGGAAUUAGCUGGAGCCUGGACCUAUUCCAUCCCCCAGAUUCCUGUGUAAAUUGUUCUUGGGUCUGACCAAAGCAUCAGGGUUUUAAAAAACACUCCAGGUUAAAACAACAACUCUCCAGGUAACCCUAUCGUACAGUCAAAGGGGGAGAGACUACUCAGAAGGCUCCUGUAGAGAUCAAAACAAAAACUAUGGGAAAGAACUUGAUCAAGGCGGAAGUAACCUUGGAAAGAAACCUUCUCAUUGGCUUUCCAUGCUAAGUCUGAAUUCUCACUCCCUUUAACUUUAAAAGGAAAGUCAUUCUUAU